UGGUCUUGCUAUCUCAAUAGAGAGAAGGUUUUUCUUUCUCCAGACCGAGGAGGAGGAGGGGGAGUAGGAGGAAGGAGGAAGGAGGAAGAAGGAAUGAAGAGGAGGUCUGGCUGUGACCUUCUGACACCCUGACUCAGGGACAUGUGGAUCACUUCCUGUGUGGCAGGAAAGAUCUACCAGACCAUGUGUUAAGAAGAGCAAAUGGAAAAGACUUCAUGAACUGGAUAUUUAUCAAGAAGAAGAGUAGUCUCAUGCAGUAGGUCUGUCAGUUCUGGCCCAGUGCAAGCGUGUACGGUUCAGGUGCCUGACCCCGGAUCUGCUUCAACGCCUCCCAGCUGAGAGGUGCGGCAUGACCUGACCAGCACUCAUGCAGUCAUAAUGGUAUGUGAAUGUGUGUGUGUGUGUUGUCAUGAUUGGAUGUGAUGGAUUUUAACUAUUUAAGUGUCAUAAUCAUCCGCAACAGUUUUAUUUAUUCAUGCUGGCUCCUCUGUAUCUGAUAAUGCUCUCUGUAACAUCCGCUCCCUGCUCUGAACUGAUAUUGCUUAAACUGCGUCUACCAGAAAACCCGCUCACACGGCUUGAUUGACAGGUGACUUCUGGGAUGACACUAAAUAAAAAUACGAUUUCCCACAUUACCACUUUAAACAGGACAGAAAACAUUUGCAGUGGAAGAAGCUAAAAACACUAACAAAAAUCAAUCUGUCCUAUUCAAAUGACCGACUGAUCAAUGUGAGUAGGAGUCACUGCUCAUCUGUGUGUGUGUGUGAGAAAGAGAGAGAGAGAGAGAGAGUGUG